rnacentral:rRNA from 1 species
AUGGGGGUCUUUAAAAUUCCUGCGGGUCUUUGUGAAGAUCUUAUGAAAAUGAUAAGAGAGUUUUGGUGGGGUGCUAGCAAAAAUAAAUGGCACACUCAUUGGAUUUCUUGGGAUUGUAUGAUCAGGCCAAAAGCUUGUGGUGGUAUGGGUUUUCGAGACCUACAACUCUUCAACCAGGCUUUGUUGGCUAAACAGGCAUGGAGAUUAAUUGAAUAUCCUGAUAGUUUAUGCGCCAAAGUUCUAAGGGCAAAGUAUUAUUCAAAUGGCCCAUUGGUGGAUACAGUAUUCACGGGAAAUGCGUCAUCUACUUGGAAAGCCAUCGAGUUUGGCCUUGAGUUGCUUAAGAAAGGGAUCAUCUGGCGUAUGGGCGAUGGUGCAAAGGUCCGGAUCUGGAGAGACCCAUGGAUACCCCGUGGUACUUCAUGCCGCCCCAUCACGCCGAAACGACGGUGCCGCCUAAAGUGGGUUGCUGAACUAUUGAAUACAGAUGGAUCUUGGAACGGAGGGCUCUUACAACAACACUUUGGUCACGCUGAUGUUAUUGAGAUUCUGAAAAUCAUGCCCUCUCCACGAUUGGAAUCUGAUUUUGUGGCUUGGUUUCCUGACAAGCGUGGGUUGUUUUCAGUUAAGAGUGCAUACUCCAUCGCCUUACAGGAAAAUAUGGCCGCUAAUGAUCAAGGGGCCUCGAGUAUCCGCCCUGAUGCCGACGUCUUGGUUGGGAUCUCAUCUGGAAGAGUCAGGCACCGCCCAAAGUACACAUAUUUGCAUGGAAGGCUGCACAUGAAGCUUUGUCCACGGAAGCAACCCAGAAAGUUAAACAUACGGUGCAUGUCCAAGCUUGUACUAUUUGUGGUAAUGCUCUUGAAGAUGCUCACCAUGCCCUUAUUCGAUGUCCCCAUGCAGCUGGUCUAUGGAAUGCCAUGA